AUCACCAAACACAAAUUAACUCAUUCACACACAUAAUUCCUCUCAAUUAUGAGAACUCUAGUGGGACAUGUAGCUCCAGGUUUGGAUUUCAGGCUAAUAGGGCUAUGGCGCUUCUUCAACCACAUCAAGCUCCACGCCCUAAAUCCAACCUUCUACACUGCUCCACCAUGGUUCCCAACCUCCAAAGACAAGUACCUUAAACUCUUCCUCAUCAUGGCAGCCUUAAUUAAUAGCCUCCAUCUCCAUGGAACUCUUCAUUGGCCUAGGCCACCACUAGACCUUUGACCCUGACCUCACCAUCCCCUCCAAUCACCUCCAUAACUUUGAACACUCCAUCCCUCUCGCCUUCCUCUCUUACGUCGCCUUCGUCCUCGUCCUUGACUGCCUCCCCUCCCCACUUCCACCUCAUCUUCGCCGACCACAACGGUCCUCAAGGACAAUACCACUGAUAGUUACAUAGAAG
rnacentral:lncRNA from 1 species